CUCUUUGGAUUUUGUUUGCGUUUUUGUUUAAUGUAUACUAAUUUUUUUUCAUCUGAUUUAACAUGACAGUCUCACACCAUAGCCAAUAUUAGAGAGGCAUCAGGGAGAUAAAAAAAGGACUGUGCGAUUUACCCUUGUGCCCAGUGGGUGGGCAGCAGAUAUUUUCUCUUUGCUUUAUGGGGAUUUCUAGAAGGUAUCCUACUUGAUUAGUAUUCUUCCAUAUCAUCCCUUACUGCCUAGUAAGGAUGUGUUAAAGGAGCAACUUCACAUUUUGUCCUCUUUUUUUUUUUAACUUCCCUUUCUAGCCUUUUAAAGUCUGCUUCCAAGACUAAAUAGCUGUCUGAUUCCAAGACUAAAUAGCUAACAAUUUUCCUCUGUUCUCCAGAAUGCCAGUGGGGUGGAGUGCUAAGUGCAAAAAUGACAAACCCUAAAUUUCUACAACUAUUUGUCAGGUUUUAAGAGCUGCUGGUAGGACAGUUUUGUGUACCUUUUGUCCAGGAGCCUGAGGGGGCCCUUUGUUGCUAGGGGGCAAGGUUCAUCAAGGAAAGAUGUAUUGGUAGAGCCCAUUAAUCUUCUGCUGAAGGCAUGGAGGAAAUAGUUAUUGCAUUCUGUCAUCAGCAGACAGCUUUAUCAUAUUUUUAUUGGAAGCUCAUGAUUGCGUAAGACAAGUUCCCAGUGUUACUUAUCAUUUGCAUUAUACUGUAACAGGACUGACCACUCAACACACACUAAAUGUGUAAAACAAACUACAGAAUCUCAAUGACUGCCUCAGGGCAACCCAAAGGCACACCAAGUUAAAAAGAGAAGUGUCAUUGUUUUAACAGCAACAAACCCAAGGAGGUAUGAAAUAUGACACUUGGUCUGAAGAUAGGAGUUUUUCUGAUAGUAAUCGAUUGUACAAAACCUCUUGAAACAUGGAACUGGCACAGAAGACUGAAGCAGUGGUAUGGAGAUAUGCUUUGGAAAACCUGAAAGGAAAAAGGAAAGUUGUCCAAGAGCUUGGGAACCAUUUCAUAGGUGUCAUUGCACAGAGUUAGUCAUGCUGUUCUGAUUCACUAUGUCAAGCUGCACAGCCUCAGCUGCCAGACUGGGACCUACUGAGUUUUUCAUCUGAGAGUUGUGUGCUCGCUGGGAGAGAAGGGAGGAGCCUUGAGACACCAUCAUCUGAGAACAACAGUGAGUCUCGUGGGGGUGGACUGUUCUUUCCUUCUGCCCUUCUCCCAUUGGGGGAAGGGUCUCUUU